UUAAUUGAAGAGUUUGAUCAUGGCUCAGAUUGAACGCUGGCGGCAGGCCUAACACAUGCAAGUCGAACGGUAACAGGGAGCAGCUUGCUGCUCUGCUGACGAGUGGCGGACGGGUGAGUAAUGUCUGGGAAACUGCCUGAUGGAGGGGGAUAACUACUGGAAACGGUAGCUAAUACCGCAUAACGUCUUCGGACCAAAGUGGGGGACCU
rnacentral:rRNA from 1 species